rnacentral:rRNA from 1 species
GAUCCUGGCUCAGAAUCAACGCUGGCGGCGUACCUAACACAUGCAAGUCGCACGAGAAAGGGGCUUCGGCCCUGAGUAAAGUGGCGCACGGGUGAGUAACACGUGAAUAAUCUACCUCCGAGUGGGGAAUAACUGAGAGAAAUCUUAGCUAAUACCGCAUAACACUUACGAGUCAAAGCAGCAAUGCGCUUGGAGAGGAGUUCGCGGCAGAUUAGUUAGUUGGCAGGGUAAUGGCCUACCAAGACGAUGAUCUGUAUCCGGCCUGAGAGGGCGCACGGACACACUGGAACUGAAACACGGUCCAGACUCCUACGGGAGGCAGCAGUGGGGAAUUUUGCGCGAUGGGGGAAACCCUGACGCAGCAACGCCGCGUGGAGGAUGAAAUCCCUUGGGAUGUAAACUCCUUUCGAUAGGGAAGAUUAUGACGGUACCUAUAGAAGAAGCCCCGGCUAACUUCGUGCCAGCAGCCGCGGUAAUACGAGGGGGGCAAGCGUUGUUCGGAUUUAUUGGGCGUAAAGGGUGCGUAGGCGGUUUGGCAAGUCUUGUGUGAAAUCUUUGGGCUCAACCCAAAGCCUGCACAAGAAACUGCCGGGCUUGAGUAUGGGAGAGGUGAGUGGAAUUUCCGGUGUAGCGGUGAAAUGCGUAGAUAUCGGAAGGAACACCUGUGGCGAAAGCGGCUCACUGGACCAU